AGAACGAACGCUGGCGGCAUGCCUAACACAUGCAAGUCGAACGAGACCUUCGGGUCUAGUGGCGCACGGGUGCGUAACGCGUGGGAAUCUGCCCUUGGGUUCGGAAUAACAGCGAGAAAUUGCUGCUAAUACCGGAUGAUGACGUAAGUCCAAAGAUUUAUCGCCCAAGGAUGAGCCCGCGUAGGAUUAGCUUGUUGGUGAGGUAAGAGCUCACCAAGGCGACGAUCCUUAGCUGGUCUGAGAGGAUGAUCAGCCACACUGGGACUGAGACACGGGCCCAGACUCCGUACGGGAGGCAGCAGUAGGGGAAUAGUUGGACAAGUGGGACGAAAG
rnacentral:rRNA from 1 species